CUUUUACUCCCUCCGUCCGAAAAUACUUGUCAUUGAAAUGGAUGUAUCUAGAUGUAUUUUAGUUCUAGACACAUCCAUUUUGAUGACAAGUAAUUCCGGACGGAGGGAGUAGUUG
rnacentral:pre_miRNA from 1 species